rnacentral:rRNA from 1 species
GACGAACGCUGGCGGCGUGCCUAAUACAUGCAAGUAGAACGCUGAAGAGAGGAGCUUGCUCUUCUUGAAUGAGUUGCGAACGGGUGAGUAGCGCGUAGGUAACCUGCCUUGUAGCGGGGGAUAACUAUUGGAAACGAUAGCUAAUACCGCAUAACAAUGGGUGACACAUGUCAUUUAUUUGAAAGGGGCAAUUGCUCCACUACAAGAUGGACCUGCGUUGUAUUAGCUAGUAGGUGAGGUAACGGCUCACCUAGGCGACGAUACAUAGCCGACCUGAGAAGGUGAUCGGCCACACUGGGACUGAGACACGGCCCAGACUCCUACGGGAGGCAGCAGUAGGGAAUCUUCGGCAAUGGGGGCAACCCUGACCGAGCAACGCCGCGUGAGUGAAGAAGGUUUUCGGAUCGUAAAGCUCUGUUGUAAGUCAAGAACGAGUGUGAGAGUGGAAAGUUCACACUGUGACGGUAGCUUACCAGAAAGGG